rnacentral:misc_RNA from 1 species
AACCUAGCACACCUGCGGUGUGUACCUGCGGAAGGAUCAUUACAGAGUUGCAAAACUCCCUAAACCAUUGUGAACGUUACCUAAACCGUUGCUUCGGCGGGCGGCCCGGGUCCUUCCCGGCGCCCAUCGGCCCUCGCGGGCGCCCGCCGGAGGUAAACCAAACUAUUGCAUUGUAUGGCCUCUCUGAGUCUUCUGUACUGAAUAAGUCAAAACUUUCAGCAAUGGAUCUCAGAUCGGAAG